rnacentral:rRNA from 1 species
GACGUAGGGGGCCAGCGUUGCUCGGAAUUACUGGGUGUAAAGGGUUCGUAGGCGGUGUGGCAAGUCGGGAGUGAAAUCUCUGGGCUCAACCCAGAGUCUGCCUCCGAAACUGCUGUGCUUGAGUGUGGGAGAGGCGCGUGGAAUUGCAGGUGUAGCGGUGAAAUGCGUAGAUAUCUGCAGGAACACCCGUGGCGAAAGCGGCGCGCUGGACCACUACUGACGCUGAGGAACGAAAGCUAGGGGAGCAAACAGG